GAGACGGUCUUAAGACCGAACCGCCCGAUGUUCCUAAUUGCAAACCCUGUCACUGUUUCUCCAUGUAUGGUUUUGGAGAACUUCUUCCAAACCAUUCUAUAUACAACAGAUUUAUCAUCUUACGUUUCGUUUUUUGACCACCAUCCCCAACUUUAAUCCCAAUGGUAAAUAUGGACAAUUAGACGUGCUUCCACAGAUAACAUAAUCUGCUUCUUAAGCAAUGAGAUGCAAAAUAGAAGAAAAAA